rnacentral:rRNA from 1 species
CCUACGGGGGGCUGCAGUGAGGAAUAUUGGUCAAUGGACGAGAGUCUGAACCAGCCAAGUAGCGUGAAGGAUGACUGCCCUAUGGGUUGUAAACUUCUUUUAUAUGGGAAUAAAAUGUUACACGUGUGGCAUUUUGUAUGUACCAUAUGAAUAAGGAUCGGCUAACUCCGUGCCAGCAGCCGCGGUAAUACGGAGGAUCCGAGCGUUAUCCGGAUUUAUUGGGUUUAAAGGGAGCGUAGGUGGAUUGUUAAGUCAGUUGUGAAAGUUUGCGGCUCAACCGUAAAAUUGCAGUUGAAACUGGCAGUCUUGAGUACAGUAGAGGUAGGCGGAAUUCGUGGUGUAGCGGUGAAAUGCUUAGAUAUCACGAAGAACUCUGAUUGCGAAGGCAGCUCACUGGACUGCAACUGACACUGAGGCUCGAAAGUGUGGGUAUCAAACAGGAUUAGAUACCCGAGUAGUC